rnacentral:rRNA from 1 species
UAGGGAAUUUUCCACAAUGGACGAAAGUCUGAUGGAGCAACGCCGCGUGCAGGAUGAAGGCCUUCGGGUUGUAAACUGCUUUUAUCUGUGAUGAUUAUGACAGUAGCAGAGGAAUAAGGAUCGGCUAACUCCGUGCCAGCAGCCGCGGUCAUACGGAGGAUCCAAGCGUUAUCCGGAAUUACUGGGCGUAAAGAGUUGCGUAGGUGGCAGAGUAAGCGAAGAGUGAAAUUGUGUGGCUCAACCAUACACCCAUUAUUCGAACUGCUCAGCUUGAGAGCGAGAGAGGUUACUGGAAUUCCCAGUGUAGGAGUGAAAUCCGUAGAUAUUGGGAGGAACACCAAUGGCGUAGGCAGGUAACUGGCUCGUCUCUGACACUAAGGCACGAAAGCGUGGGGAGCAAACGGG